rnacentral:rRNA from 1 species
GCAGUCGAGCGAGAAUCAGUCCUUCGGGGCUGAGGAAAGUGGCGCACGGGUGCGUAACACGUGGGUAAUCAACCCUCUAGAUUGGGACAACCCGGGGAAACUCGGGCUAAUACCAGAUGUCGCAUUCGGGUCUUCGGGCCUGGAUGUAAAAGGAGCAAUCCGCUAGAGGACGAGCCCGCGGCCCAUCAGCUAGUUGGAGGGGUAAUGGCCCACCAAGGCGAAGACGGGUAGCUGGUCUGAGAGGAUGAUCAGCCACACUGGAACUGAGACACGGUCCAGACUCCUACGGGAGGCAGCAGUGGGGAAUAUUGCGCAAUGGGCGAAAGCCUGACGCAGCCACGCCGCGUGAGCGAUGAAGGCCUUAGGGUCGUAAAGCUCUGUGGAGGGAGAAGAAACCUGACGGUAUCCCUUUAGCAAGCACCGGCUAACUCCGUGC